GCCAGAGAUUCCUAUCGGGAGAGGGAAGACUUUACUUUUGAAGAGGAAAAGUACUUAACUCCUAGAGGAAAGCGUCAUUCCUGAGGUUUACCCUCAUGGUCUGGAGACAAACACGUGGGACUUUUCUUUUUUGUGUGUGUUUCUAAUAGUGGAAGAAAAGGAAAGCCAGGCUAAGCAGAGAAAAGUGGAAGAGGAGACACAGCAGCUCAUUCUUUCCCAGUAGCCGUUAGACUGAUUGCGGAGGGGAAGGUCAAAAGAGAAGUUCACAACUAUGAUACCAGCUCUAGAGGCGAAAGAACAACUGAGAGAGAACUAUCCAAGAAGUGUUUGGAUCCCGAAGCACAAAGGUAGACUUACAAAGGAUGAAAUUGAUCUCUACUACUAAGUGGAUCCAUCUUCAAGAGAGGGCGUUCAGAACACCCGGAAAGAUAAGAAAGAACAUGUUAGGACUUCCUCACCUCCUUGGGACAUGGUUAUGAAGAUGAGAGUAAAUGACACGUCACUUCCGGACAGAAUCUUUCAGAGUCAACUUGCAAUUCACGAUGUCCCUGUCUCUGCCUUAAUCAUAGUGGAAGCACCUGCUGAGAUGGAAGUUUCCUCAGCCUGGUCUCUGAGGGUCUAUGAUGAGCAGUCUUCCCUAGUAUCCGCUUUGGAGAAAUAGAUCUUAACUGAAUUAAGAUACUGAGGUUUGGCAUUAUUUAUUUAUGUAUCUAUUUAUUUACUUGUAACAUCUUUGUUAGAUUUUGGUAUCUGGUUAUUGCUAGCCUCCUCAAACAAACUGAGAAGAGUUCUUUCCUGCUCUAUUUUCUGAAAGAAUUUGCUUAAGAUUUGUGUAACUUCUUUCUCAAAUGUUUGAUAGAAUUCACCAGGGAAACUAUCUGGGCUAGGAGCUUCCUUCCUCUUUCUUUCUUCUUUGUCUCUCUUUCUGUCUUUUCUUUCUUUUCAAAAGCUCUACUUAUAUAGCAUUGACAUUUAAAAAUUGUACAUAUUUAAGCUGUACAACUUGAUUUAACUCUAAACAAUAGUUUUAUUUAAAUAAUAUUUUUUAUUAUACUUUAAG
rnacentral:lncRNA from 1 species